rnacentral:rRNA from 1 species
AUUGAACGCUGGCGGCAUGCUUUACACAUGCAAGUCGAACGGUAACAGGUUAAGCUGACGAGUGGCGAACGGGUGAGUAAUGCAUCGGAACGUGCCCGAUCGUGGGGGAUAACGCAGCGAAAGCUGCGCUAAUACCGCAUCCGAUCUGAGGAUGAAAACGGGGGACCGUAAGGCCUCGCGCGAUCGGAGCGGCCGAUGUCAGAUUAGGUAGUUGGUGGGGUAAAGGCCAACCAAGCCGACGAUCUGUAGCUGGUCUGAGAGGACGACCAGCCACACUGGGACUGAGACACGGCCCAGACUCCUACGGGAGGCAGCAGUGGGGAAUUUUGGACAAUGGGCGAAAGCCUGAUCCAGCAAUGCCGCGUGCAGGAAGAAGGCCUUCGGGUUGUAAACUGCUUUUGUACGGAGCGAAAAGGUCCUUUCUAAUACAAGGGGCUCAUGACGGUACCGUAAGAAUAAGCACCGGCUAACUACGUGCCAGCCGCCGCGGUAACAC